rnacentral:hammerhead_ribozyme from 1 species
AUCCAGAUGACAAGUCCCAAAUUGAACGAAACAUGCGUCUUGGAU